CUUGGGGCAGCGUGGUCUCCAGCAGCUCGACAACUGCCUUCCGCUCGGGGAAUUUCCAAAGACUGCUGCUGUGGCUACUAAAGUUGCUAUUAUAUAAAAUGUAAAACGCUUUUGCUGUCCUACCAGCCACAUGGCAGGUGCUCCCUAGCCACACGCGGCCGGUGACACCGGAUGAGACAGUGCAGACAACCCGAAUGCUCGUUUAUUCUCGGGGAGCCACGGCCGCGAAGGGGGAGCACCUGACAUCUCUGCCCUCGUGGAGUUUAUGUCCUAAAGGGGAAGAUACAGAGCAGGCGACAGAUAUGGUGAGUAACUUUUGCCAUGGGCUGUAGACCCCGCAGGAAGCAGGUGACACACUCAACUGAGAAACGGGGCCGAGGAUUUAGCACAUUAUGGGCAGACUUCAGGGAAACCGGUGUGGGACCCCAGCAUUGCCGGCAGUGGGGGGCCCUCCCUGCAGCCCGCCACCCCGGGGGGCCUCGGCACAGCCCCUGCACCUGCUGACGAGCCAUCGGGCACAGCGACAAGCCCCCGCGGUCUCCACGACGCCUCGAGACUGUCGAGGACGCCCCAGCGGACAGGCUCUGCGGCCCACGCGGUGCCGUCGCUCAACAUGAACACCUGGGGUCGUUUCUUUCGAUAUUUAUUUCAAGAUUUCAGAGGCCACAGAAAUGCCCUGGCAGCGGGGACUUAUUUGGCCGGUGGGCUGGGGAGGCGGGGAUGGGACACUCAACACUUUUUUUCCAUUUCAGAAACUCAAACGUCAAAAACAAAAAUCAAAACGAAAAACCCCCCAACACAUGAAGAGGCUUAUUUGGGCUUUUCACAGCUAAUAGAGAAAAUCCUAAACCUGGGGUGAGCGGGUCCAGUCUGAUGAGAGAAGACAUGGAAGCACCAAAUGGUUAAAAGAAGAAAAAGGCAACGUCCAGACACGAGGUACUACCUGCAGCCUCCCGCCCGGUCCCGCGGCCCUGGGCGCUGCCUCCCACUAAGACCUCACAGGCCGGGCUCAGCUACCACAGCGGAGGCAUUAACGUCGAUAUGAGUCUAUUAACUAAACCACAGACCGUAACUGAGAUGUCACCAGUGUUGUCACCGACAUCCCUUUUCGAUCCAGGAUACCACAUCCUGGUUACUUGUCACGUCUCCUUAGUCCUCUCCAAUCUGUGACAUUUUCUCGGGCUUCCCUUGUCUUUCAUGACCUUGACCCUUUUGAAGAGUAUUGGUCAGGUGUUUUGUACAAAUGUCCCUCAAUUUGGGUUUGUCUGCUGUGGGCUCGUGACUGGACGGAGGUUAUGGAUUGUUG
rnacentral:lncRNA from 1 species